AUUUAACUAACAUUUAUUUCAAAAUAAUUUAGAUUUUUGAGAUUUGGUUAUGUUUUUCUUAGAACUUGUUAUAGAUUAUAGAAAGUAAAUAUAUUAAUAUAGAAAGUAAAUAUUGAUAGAUGGGUUAGUUGCUUAAUCUUAGGGAUUGUAUAAUCAUAGACUUGAUUUUCCUUCCUGUUUAGAUACCGUCUUUUAUAUAUAAAUAAGUUGUAAUCUUUAUUAUGAAAUAUAAUAUCAAAUAUUAUAUUUUUACAUGGUAUCAGAGCAAAGUUUGUAGAGAUUUUUUUCUCUCUCGUCAAGUUUUAACUUUUUGGAGACUCAUGUUAUCCAUCUAGGAUAAUAUUUGUCUCUCACCGUUCACCUAAAGAGGAUGCCAAAGUCGCCUUGCAGCUCCUUUGUCAGAUUUGUGUUUCGUUUUCCAUUUGGGUGUUGGGUGGAUGCGUCUUUUUGAUACUAUUCAUUUGGGCUACCCAUAAAAAGUAACUUUUGGAGACUUAGGACUCUGUUUAUUUGGAUUACCCAUAAAAGGGUAACAUUUGGAGACUUAGGGCUCUGUUCAUUUGGGUUACUCAUAAAGGGUAACGUUUGGAGACUUAGGGCUCUGUUCAUUUGGGUUACUCAUAAAGAGUAACGUUUGGAGACUUAGGACUCUGUUCAUUUGGGUUACUCAUAAAGGGUAACGUUUGGAGACUUAGGGCUCUGUUCAUUUGGGUUACUCACAAAGGGUAACAUUUGGAGACUUAGGGCUCUGUUCAUUUGGAUUACUCAAUAUUUAAAGAUUUAGGACUCUGUUCAUUUGGGUUAUCCAUAAAGGGUAACAUUUGGAGAAACAGGUACUGUUCACGAGUACUAUUUAUCGGGUACUGUUCACGAGUACUGUUCAUCGGGUACUGUUCAAGAGUCACGAGUACUGUUCACGGAUUCGAAAUUCUAUUCACAGUAAGGUGAUUAGUCUUAUUAAUCAUUCUGAAUUUGUUAAAGAAUUAAUGCAUUAUUUGGAUUUUCUAUAUUCUGGUAAAGGGAAUACUUAUCGUAUUUAUGAUGUGUGUAAGGCGUUUUACCAAGCUAGGAAAAUGUGGUCUCCCGUUCUAGUGCUGAAUUUGAAUGUCCAGUCAUGGCAAAAACCGUUUGUGAAGUUUUGUGGGUACGUCAAUUAUUGAAAAAAGUUUGGUUUACAAAUUCGGUGUCUGCUAAGUUGCAUGGGACGAGUUGAUUAUAUAUAUAACAAGUUAAGCAUGAUUAACAUUUAUGCUCCAACUUGAGGGGGAGUGUUAUAGAUUAUAGAAAGUAAAUAUAUUAAUAUAGGAAGUAAAUAUUGAUAGAUGGGUUAGUUGCUUAAUCUUAGGGAUUGUAUAAUCAUAGACUUGAUUUUCCUUCCUGUUUAGAUACCGUCUUUUAUAUAUAAAUAAGUUGUAAUCUUUAUUAUGAAAUAUAAUAUCAAAUAUUAUAUUUUUACAGAACUUUUUGAGAUUUUUGAAUUAGAUUGUAAUUAUAUCUACAAUUGAUGUGUCAUAUAAAUUUAUUUCAUGAAAUUAUUGUGUGUUGUUGUGUAAUUAGCAAGCUAUAGUUAAUGCUUUAAAGGUUUGAAAUUGCAAGCAGAUGUGGUGUUGUCUUGAUUCCGGGUUGGGUUUUACCGUCGGUUAUGGUGUUAUUUGAUUGAUUUUCCAGCAAAAGAAUGUAAAGAUAGACAAGUUCCUGCCUUAUGCAGUAUUAGUAAUUGGGACUCGAGUGGUGAGACCUGAAUUCUAAUCAGGCUUGGAAUGAGGAUGGGUAGUAUUAAACAUUUAAGGCUUAGAUUUUGACACUUGAACUUAAUUUCGUGGGUAUCCUACC
rnacentral:lncRNA from 1 species